rnacentral:rRNA from 1 species
CCUACGUGGUGCAGCAGUGAGGAAUAUUGGUCAAUGGACGAGAGUCUGAACCAGCCAAGUAGCGUGAAGGAUGACUGCCCUAUGGGUUGUCAACUUCUUUUAUAAAGGAAUAAAACGAGGCACGUGUGCCUUUUGGCAGCUACUUUAUGACUAAGGAUCGGCUAACUCCGUGCCAGCAGCCGCGGUAAUACGGAGGAUCCGAGCUUUAUCCGGAUUUGUUGUGUUUAAAGGGAGCGUAGAUGGGUUGUUAAGUCAGUUGUGAAAGUUUUCGGCUCAACCGUAAAAUUGCAAUUGAUACUGGCAGUCUUGAGUACAGUUGAGGUAGGCGGAAUGCGUGGUGUAGCGGUGAAAUGCUUAGAUAUCACGAAGAACCCCGAUUGCGAAGGCAGCUUACUAAACUGUGACUGACAUUGAUGCUCGAAAGUGUGGGUAUCAAACAGGAUUAGAUACCCUUGUAGGC